ACAUGCAGUCGAGCGAAUGAUGAAGAAGCUUGCUUCUUCUGAUUUAGCGGCGGACGGGUGAGUAACACGUGGGCAACCUACCUAGUAGAUUGGGAUAACUCCGGGAAACCGGGGCUAAUACCGAAUAAUCCAUUUCACCUCAUGGUGAAAUGCUGAAAGGCGGUUUCGGCUGUCACUACUAGAUGGGCCCGCGGUGCAUUAGCUAGUUGGUGGGGUAAUGGCCUACCAAGGCAACGAUGCAUAGCCGACCUGAGAGGGUGAUCGGCCACAUUGGGACUGAGACACGGCCCAAACUCCUACGGGAGGCAGCAGUAGGGAAUCUUCCACAAUGGACGAAAGUCUGAUGGAGCAACGCCGCGUGAGUGAUGAAGGUUUUCGGAUCGUAAAACUCUGUUGUAAGGGAAGAACAAGUACGUUAGUAACUGAACGUACCUUGACGGUACCUUAUUAGAAAGCCACGGCUAACUACGUGCCAGCAGCCGCGGUAAUACGUAGGUGGCAAGCGUUGUCCGGAUUUAUUGGGCGUAAAGCGCGCGCAGGUGGUUUCUUAAGUCUGAUGUGAAAGCCCACGGCUCAACCGUGGAGGGUCAUUGGAAACUGGGAGACUUGAGUGCAGAAGAGGAAAGUGGAAUUCCAAGUGUAGCGGUGAAAUGCGUAGAGAUUUGGAGGAACACCAGUGGCGAAGGCGACUUUCUGGUCUGUAACUGACACUGAGGCGCGAAAGCGUGGGGAGCAAACAGGAUUAGAUACCCUGGUAGUCCACGCCGUAAACGAUGAGUGCUAAGUGUUAGGGGGUUUCCGCCCCUUAGUGCUGCAGCUAACGCAUUAAGCACUCCGCCUGGGGAGUACGGCCGCAAGGUUGAAACUCAAAUGAAA
rnacentral:rRNA from 1 species